UUACAGUUAAAUCCAAUGUAACUGCAGAGCUGUGUAACACAAACUGCUCUCUGGUCUACAACAAAACCUGAAAAAAAUGUGAACAACAGCCUGUUAAUACAGGAAUAAAUGACAUAUGAUGCAAUUCGUUUUAGUGGGGUUAUGUUUAUGGAUGCUUCUUUCUAAUAAUCUGGAGGAUUCUACAGAACUUAAUGUAUUAAAUUUUAAUUGAUGCAGAGAGAAACAGUGCUGCAAAACGUGUUGAAAAAAACUUUGUUUUAAUUUACUAUUAACAAAUCCAUCAGUUUUAAUAGUUAGUAACACCUAUAAGCUUGCAUUUGAUGAGUUGGGCCCCUUCUAUACAAAAUAGUCUUCCCAGAAAAAGGAGAACAUGCCAUUAUGGCCACUUGACAGAUCCUGUCACCACUGCGCUCUCGUCACACCACACAAGUACUCUCUGCAUGCCAGCCUGACAGCAUCCCAUCUUCCCUUAUACCCACGACACUACAUCUCCAUGCAUCCACUCUGAAUUGCAUCUAUUCAAACGAUAGCCACCAAAUCAAUUGCAUUCCAAAUUCAUAAUUUUCUUUUUUGCGAGCUUAAUGCGAUGCAGCCAGAAGCGACCCUUCCCUCCUUUUCUUUUUUUUUUGUUGUUUUUUUUUAAGGAGGGAGGCAGUGGACCGUGGCGUAUUCCAGAGACAGGAUAACGAAGGCUUGGUGAAUAGUAGGGUUUUUUGGGGGGUGGGGGGAGGUGGAUUAUGUCUGCCAAUCAGAGGGCUGGGGAUGGGAGGCCUGUGUGUGCCAGGGAAACAAUGUCUAAUCCUUCCUAAGCAGCGGUCUCCUCGGCAGCAGAGGGAUGAAAUUGGGAUGAAGGCACGACCAGACACAACAGGAGACAAUGCCUGGUUUAAGCUGCAGCGGCAUGGGUGGGAACACGAGGGAUGAAAGAUGAAAAUGACAGGGAGGAGAGAAGCUGGAUGGCAUGAUAAAUGAAGAAAACGAUGAGGAAAGCUGGUGGAAGGAGGCAGCAGGGCCAAGAUAAAACAAGACGCGAAAUAAGAACAACAGGAAGAUGAAUGAAGGAAUAGACAACGAAAACAGGGUUCUUCAGGCAACAAAUAUCAUGUGACCUGUCGAGAUGUCCAUGUUGGACGGCACUGGCUCCUCGCACCAGGAGGAGGUGCUGCUGCGUGUCGACGGGCUGGCUACUGGGCCGUCGCUGAAUUGAGAAGACACGCUGUUGAGGCGUGAGUGACG